AGCCGNNCGCACUNNNAUGCACCGUAGUUUACUACACCGUAUUCUGUGAGUUGCGAACGGGUGAGUAACGCGUAGGUAACCUGCCUGGUAGCGGGGGAUAACUAUUGGAAACGAUAGCUAAUACCGUAUAAGAACAUUUACUGCAUGGUAGAUGUUUAAAAGGUGCAAGAGCAUCACUACCAGAUGGACCUGCGUUGUAUUAGCUAGUUGGUGAGGUAACGGCUCACCAAGGCAACGAUACAUAGCCGACCUGAGAGGGUGAUCGGCCACACUGGGACUGAGACACGGCCCAGACUCCUACGGGAGGCAGCAGUAGGGAAUCUUCGGCAAUGGGGGGAACCCUGACCGAGCAACGCCGCGUGAGUGAAGAAGGUUUUCGGAUCGUAAAGCUCUGUUGUUAAGGAAGAACGUGUGUGAGAGUGGAAAGUUCACACAGUGACGGUACUUAACCAGAAAGGGACGGCUAACUACGUGCCA
rnacentral:rRNA from 1 species